rnacentral:miRNA from 1 species
UAGCAAGCUCUUGCAUCAGAGG